rnacentral:rRNA from 1 species
GUGGCGAACGGGUGAGUAACACGUGGGCAAUCUGCCCUUCACUCUGGGACAAGCCCUGGAAACGGGGUCUAAUACCGGAUAACACUCUCCAAAGCAUUUUGGGGGGUUAAAAGCUCCGGCGGUGAAGGAUGAGCCCGCGGCCUAUCAGCUUGUUGGUGGGGUAAUGGCCUACCAAGGCGACGACGGGUAGCCGGCCUGAGAGGGCGACCGGCCACACUGGGACUGAGACACGGCCCAGACUCCUACGGGAGGCAGCAGUGGGGAAUAUUGCACAAUGGGCGAAAGCCUGAUGCAGCGACGCCGCGUGAGGGAUGACGGCCUUCGGGUUGUAAACCUCUUUCAGCAGGGAAGAAGCGAAAGUGACGGUACCUGCAGAAGAAGCGCCGGCUAACUACGUGCCAGCAGCCGCGGUAAUACGUAGGGCGCAAGCGUUGUCCGGAAUUAUUGGGCGUAAAGAGCUCGUAGGCGGCUUGUCACGUCGGAUGUGAAAGCCCGGGGCUUAACCCCGGGUCUGCAUUCGAUACGGGCUAGCUAGAGUGUGGUAGGGGAGAUCGGAAUUCCUGGUGUAGCGGUGAAAUGCGCAGAUAUCAGGAGGAACACCGGUGGCGAAGGCGGAUCUCUGGGCCAUUACUGACGCUGAGGAGCGAAAGCGUGGGGAGCGAACAGGAUUAGAUACCCUGGUAGUCCACGCCGUAAACGUUGGGAACUAGGUGUUGGCGACAUUCCACGUCGUCGGUGCCGCAGCUAACGCA